AGCAGCCGCGGUAAUUCCAGCUCCAAUAGCGUAUGUUUAAGUUGUUGCAGUUAAAAGCUGUAGUUGAAUUUCGGGAUUGACGUGACGGUCGUGCCUUAAGGGGCGUGAACUGUCGCCGUGAUUUCUCACCUUCUGGAGAAGCUCGAUGUCCUUAAUUGGAUGUCUUGUGGAACCAGGCCUUUACCUUGAAAAAAUUAGAGUGUUUAAAGCAGGCAUUUUGCUCGAAUAC
rnacentral:rRNA from 1 species